GAUCAUAUAGCUCUGGUACAGCGCGUGCUUAGCAUGCACAAGGUCCUGGGUUCAAUCCCCAGUAUCUCCA
rnacentral:tRNA from 1 species